rfam:Gossypium raimondii chromosome 2, whole genome shotgun sequence.
UGUUAAAAAUUUCAUCUAUUUCUAUUGUUAAAAACUAGCAUGACUGAUAGAAUAACUAGACAAUUACACGUGACAUGCCAUGUAUACCUCAUUCUAACAUAUAUUGACAAUUUUUUAACAGCAAAAAUAGAUGGAGUUUUUAAUA